UGAAAUGUGGCCUCCUGUUACGUAUACUGAAGGUAUACCGGACAGAAAACACUCAGGAUACAUUCAGUAUACGUACAGGGGGUUUAACAUUCUG
rnacentral:pre_miRNA from 1 species